rnacentral:misc_RNA from 1 species
GAUGAAGAACGUAUCGAAAUGCGAUAAGUAGUGUGAAUUGCAGAAUUCAGUGAAUCAUCGAAUCUUUGAACGCACAUUGCGCCCCUUGGUAUUCCAUGGGGCAUGCCUGUUCGAGCGUCAUUUGUACCUUCAAGCUCUGCUUGGUGUUGGGUGUUUGUCUCGCCUCUGCGUGUAGACUCGCCUCAAAACAAUUGGCAGCCGGCGUAUUGAUUUCGGAGCGCAGUACAUCUCGCGCUUUGCACUCAUAACGACGACGUCCAAAAGUACAUUUUUACACUCUUGACCUCGGAUCAGGUAGGGAUACCCGCUGAACUUAAGCAUAUCAAUAAGCGGAGGA